rnacentral:lncRNA from 1 species
UUAUCAAGGUGUUACUGUAUAGUGUGACCCUAAAGCCGCACACCUAAUUAAAACCCACGUAGCCAAGGUGUGCAUCCAAAUGGCAGUAGUUAUCCUCCAAGCAGUUUCCUGGGAAAACUACACACACAUGCAACAAGAUAGUUGCCACAGCUCUGAACAUUCCAGAGUGUCUCUCUUAGAGCCCUCUCCUUUGGAGUCUUGGCUCAUUCUUUGUAACAUUCUCAGGGGUGGCCAAACUUUGUUCUUGGAGGGAGCAUGUGACAGCUGGAAAUAAACAAGGCUGAUGCAGAUAGUAGGAAGUCAUCUUUGAGGAUACUGUUUGAACAAAAAGGCAACAUGUUUUCUAGAAAGUGCACAGUCAUCUGAAACAGUCAUGAAGCUAGCCGGUGGGACACAUUUUAUUAAUUUUAAUUUGCAUGGAAGUUUUCAGACACAUGUUAUUUUCUACCCCGUUAUCUCAAGCGUCAAUUGUCCUUCCAGGGUGACCUUGGCUGAGAACUGAGCUAACCACAUCCAAGCCAUAAGGCAGCAUUGCUUUCACCACACCAUGUCCUUGGGGCAGAGAAUAAGGGAAUUUGUCAUAGCAACAUG